rnacentral:rRNA from 1 species
UACGGAGGGGGCUAGCGUUGUUCGGAAUUACUGGGCUUAAAGGGUGCGUAGGCGGCGCAGUAAGUUGGGUGUGAAAUCCCUCGGCUUAACCGAGGAAUUGCGCCCAAAACUACUGUGCUCGAGGGAGAUAGAGGUGAGCGGAACUUAGGGUGGAGCGGUGAAAUGCGUUGAUAUCCUAAGGAACACCGGUGGCGAAAGCGGCUCACUGGAUCUCUUCUGACGCUGAGGCACGAAAGCUAGGGUAGCAAACGGG